rnacentral:lncRNA from 1 species
CCCCUUUUUGGCCCAAUUCGUUGCCACUUGACAUGUUCUGUCAGUCGUGUUGGUCGUUUGUCAUCGGUUAGCGAAAAAGUGCUUUUGUUUUGUGAAAAUCCAAUUUAUUUGUUUAAUUUUUAGUUUUCCCCACACCUGUUUGUGUGUAAAUUGCUAAAGAACCCGUAAAAAGUUGAAAAGUGAACGUCGCUCUGCAAGAAAAAAGCUACAUUCCAGUAGAAAUUAAGUGAAAAAAUAUUGGGCGAACACACUACACAAGGAAGAAAAUGUAAAUUGAUGCGUUGUGAAAAAAAGCGUAGAAAAGGCGAAACAAGUUAAAAGAGUAGGUAACGGAGUAGUGAACGUGAAUUGCGUGUGCAAUCAGAGGAAAAGUAAACGUCAAAAGAAACACAACCAAAAAGCUUUUAGCUUAAGUGCAUGCGUUAUUCGUACCAUCUGGUUGAGAAUCGGAGAAACACUAUAAAUUACCAACACUACGGCUUAACAAAACGAAGGGUGUGAGUCUGUAGGGCUUACUAUGACAUUCACUGAAUGGAUACUCGUUGCAAUAUGCACGUUUAG